GACGAUAUAGAGUAUGGAACUCGCCUGGUUACAGAACUUGGAGAUGUUGGUUCGAUUCCAACUGUCGUCACCA
rnacentral:tRNA from 1 species